GGGUAGCUUUCACCCAGCAGCACUAUCGACUCCUAAGUGAACGUCA
rnacentral:ribozyme from 1 species